rnacentral:rRNA from 1 species
UACGAAGGGGGCUAGCGUUGUUCGGAAUUACUGGGCGUAAAGAGCUCGUAGGCGGCUUGUCGCGUCGACUGUGAAAACCCGUGGCUCAACCCCGGAACUGCAUCCGAUACUGCGUGGCUAGAGGUAGGUAGGGGAGAUCGGAAUUCCUGGUGUAGCGGUGAAAUGCGCAGAUAUCAGGAGGAACACCGGUGGCGAAGGCGGAUCUCUGGGCCUUACCUGACGCUCAGGCACGAAAGCUAGGGGAGCGAACAGG